CCUAGUCCCCGCGUCACACGUCUCCUCCCACGAUCCGUGCGCUGCCGACAAACACCCCUGCCGGGAUUCUGUGUCCACGGCAUUCUACGGCACCGCCUUCGCCCGUCUUCUUGAAACCAUUUUUUCCGAAACUGAAGCCAGCAUAUUUGCGCAGACCACAAGUAUCCGUCCUUUAGAAACAGGUGUUUACACGGCGACAAAUAGAAAACCCGCUGGGGCAUGCAUCUGUUGCGGCAGCUCGGGAAGGCCAACUUGUUGUUUGCUGCCAUACUCACUUGAGAGGGGUUGCCCGUUGUAGUACGGCCAGCGAACGUCUUGAAAAAAGAUGAAAGCACGCGGGAAUCCAAGAGUAUUACGCAGAUAGAAGGUUUUCUUUGUCAUCUUUGGGCGUGAAGGCUACAUCAUUCAGCUUAUUCCGCGCGGUCUGUGCGGCGGAUCGGGAGGCUGGUGUGAGGACCACUCGGGGGUACCGUUUGUUGUAGUUCAGCGGUGAUAGCCGUUGGAGGCGAGAAUGUCAACGGAAAAGGGUGGAUAAUCAAACUCGCUACUAACAAAACGAGAAUGCGGAAACGCUUCGAAUGGUGUUUUCCCCGUGUCGUGUUCUACUAGCCCAGUGGGGGGAGAGACUGCGGUACACAUUGGUGCGUUACCACUGCACAUCGGAAACAACGUGUACGCCACUUUAUCGAAACUAGGGUGGGCGGCAGUAGAAACUAGUAAUCACGAGAAUAAAAAAGUUCACUGACAAGGUGGUCGUACGAAUGGCACGCGUGCAAAGGAUGGGCACUUCGGGCUCAGCCAUGUAACAGUUCUUUCGUAGUUGCCGUGCUGGCGUUUUCCCGUGCCUAAGAAAGAGGUGGAUAUGUUUCCUUCUCGCACGAGGCUGCUGUUCAAAGUCAAGCCCAAACGUCAACGGGUUUUCUGUACAUAUCUAGCAAGUAGUAGAAUGGAGAGCGGCCACGGCGGCAUGAGACCAUCGUGGGUUGGAUACAUGACCGGUGUUGUAGGUUCGCUGGUAGAUGCAAGAAUACCAAUUCAGUUGGACAAGUAAGAACUCAUCAGGGGGUAGAUAAGACAACAUGUCCCGUCAUCGGCUGCUUCGUCUCACAGGCUUUGAAAGCUGGGGCGUUUGCAAUUAUGUACGUCGCCGUAGCACGCGUUCUCAGCGCUGAAGUGAAUGCGUGGCAGCCAAGCCACGGCAUCCUGGAUGAGUGACGACUGUGCCACCGUGUAAGUCUUCCAUUUUGAGUUGAUAAUUUCUCCUCUUGUGCACCCUGUGUGUUUAUUGCAUGUUUGGAUCCGUGUGUCCUUUGAUGUGCGAGAGAGGUACAACUCAAUUAACAGAAACAGAAGAACAUCUCUGGUCAUCUACUGAUGAUUGAUGGGAGGUUGUAGGACUAUAGCAGUGUUCGGAUAACGAGAGAAACAUGCGUUUUGAGGAAGACUGAUUGCCAGCUUGAGGAAGAAAUAGUCUAGGCGAUGAAGUUUGUUUUACCACAAAGGGGACAGCAUCUAUCAUACAGAAUGAAUUCCUCCGUCUUCUCUAGGUCGAAAGCGUGUGCGCAGCCCCCACAAACCACCAGUCUUCUGUUCCGUUGGCAAGGUCCAGUGUGGUGAAGGACAUUGUGGCAACUCGAUUCCUCUGAGGACGGCGGAGAGCCGUGUGCGUCCUGCCGUUCAUCAGUCACGCGAUUGCAACAGAAGAAGUAUUGCGUGGACAAAAGAGGAGAAACACGGGCAUGGUCGAGAAUGCAGACACAGUCGGAUGGGAGCUCGCGUAACAGUGCAGCUCCCACUCGAAGAGGAGCAAAGGAUCCUUCUGUGCCAGAAGUAGCAGUAACCCCGGCGGCCUUCAUGAACGAGAUGGUCGCUGCAUUGGGGUCCGGGGUUCUUGCCUGUAGGUUGUUGCCUUUCUUCCCGUCAGGCAAGCGGCCCUCUUCCGUCAGAAAAGAAGCAUGCUGUAGGUCGUGACCGCCUGACCGCAAAACGCAGGGUCACUGCGUAGAACUGUGGCCAUAACCGUGGCAGUUUUUGUGUCGAGAAGUGACAGCGCUACCAGUUGAAUGGCAAAAGAUACAAACGUGUCAGUUUCGGAUGAUAUGGCACUCCGGAUAGUUCUCUAUAUAGGGUAAGUUCUGCAUAUGUGUACGAAAGCACAGAUUUGUCGCGAAGCAAGUGUAUAAGCGCAUCGAUGUCCGCCAACGUCACCCACUCCAAACGUCUACUAGCGCGGGGAGGUAGAGAGGAGCCAACAGACAGAAUGCUGUGAACUCGAGUCACAAUGGAGUAGAGGCUGUGUGUUUGCAAAUACAAGAAAACGUGACUGGUCAAGUGCUUUCGUGCCAGGGUACAAGGGAAAUCUUGCGGAUGUGUAAGGGAGAAGAUGCCCCUGAGAAGGGAUGGUCAGCUCUUACUUGAAUGCGAGAUGUCCAAUUUUCCGAUCGCCGUGGAGUUGAGUAUCGCUUUUGCUCGUUCAUCAUUCACUUCAGGUGGAGGGAGAAACUCGAUGCAGCCGAGGACGGUGAAACCACCAAACUCCCUCAGUCUCAAGUGCCCACAGUUGUCACACGCCUCCGAGGCUAUGAAAGGCACUCGUUCGUCGUUCAGGAGAGGCACAACCGCAUGGCACCAAGAACAAGUCUCUUCC
rnacentral:lncRNA from 1 species